rnacentral:rRNA from 1 species
UCGAACGCGAAAGGCCCCUUCGGGGGCCGAGUAGAGUGGCGCACGGGUGAGUAACACGUAGGUAAUUUGCCUUCGGGUGGGGAAUAACAGCCGGAAACGGCUGCUAAUACCGCAUAAUGCAGCGGCUCGACAUCGAGACAGUUGUUAAAGCGGGGGAUCGCAAGACCUCGCGCCUGAAGAGAAGCCUGCGGCGGAUUAGCUUGUUGGUAGGGUAAUGGCCUACCAAGGCGACGAUCCGUAACCGGCCUGAGAGGGCGGUCGGUCACACUGACACUGACAUACGGGUCAGACUCCUACGGGAGGCAGCAGUCGGGAAUUUUGGGCAAUGGGCGAAAGCCUGACCCAGCAACGCCGCGUGAAGGAUGAAAUCCCUCGGGAUGUAAACUUCGCAAGAAUGGGAAGAAUAAGUAGAAGAUAACACCUUCUAUGAUGACGGUACCAUUUGUAAGCUCCGGCUAACUCCGUGCCAGCAGCCGCGGUAAUACGGGGGGAGCAAGCGUUGUUCGGAUUUACUGGGCGUAAAGGGCGCGUAGGCGGCCACGACAAGUCACUUGUGAAAUCUCCGGGCUUAACUCGGAACGGUCAAGUGAUGCUGUCGGGCUAGAGUGCAGAAGGGGCAACUGGAAUUCUCGGUGUAGCGGUGAAAUGCGUAGAUAUCGAGAGGAACACCUGCGGCGAAGGCGGGUUGCUGGGCUGACACUGACGCUGAGGCGCGAAAGCCAGGGGAGCGAACGGGAUUAGAUACCCCGGUAGUCCUGGCCUUUAACGAUGAAUGCUUGGUGUCUCGGGUUA